UGAGUAACACGUGAGUGACCUGCCUUUUAGACUGGAACAACUUACCGAAAGGUGAGCUAAUGCCGGAUGAGUUAUAUAAGUGCAUGUUUAUAUAGGAAAAGUUGGGGAGACCUGACGCUGAAAGAUGGACUCGCGUCCCAUUAGCUAGUUGGUAGGGUAAUGGCCUACCAAGGCGACGAUGGGUAGCCGGCCUGAAAGGGUGGCCGGCCACACUGGGACUGAGACACGGCCCAGACUCCUACGGGAGGCAGCAG
rnacentral:rRNA from 1 species